GCUAAACGCGAAGAACCUUACCAAGGCUUGACAUAUACGAGAACGGGCCAGAAAUGGUCAACUCUUUGGACACUCGUAAACAGGUGGUGCAUGGUUGUCGUCAGCUCGUGUCGUGAGAUGUUGGGUUAAGUCCCGCAACGAGCGCAACCCUCGUUCUAUGUUGCCAGCACGUAAUGGUGGGAACUCAUGGGAUACUGCCGGGGUCAACUCGGAGGAAGGUGGGGAUGACGUCAAAUCAUCAUGCCCCUUAUGUCUUGGGCUUCACGCAUGCUACAAUGGCCGGUACAAAGGGCUGCAAUACCGUAAGGUGGAGCGAAUCCCAAAAAGCCGGUCCCAGUUCGGAUUGAGGUCUGCAACUCGACCUCAUGAAGUCGGAGUCGCUAGUAAUCGCAGAUCAGCAACGCUGCGGUGAAUACGUUCCCGGGUCUUGUACACACCG
rnacentral:rRNA from 1 species